rnacentral:snoRNA from 1 species
AAGACUAUACUUCACAGGAUCAUUUCUGUAGUCAGUCUUCGUAUAUUUCUUUCGCAAGAUAGUAAUAAUUUACCUCCUAAUCUUGAUACCAUUUGAAGU